rnacentral:rRNA from 1 species
UACGGAGGGUGCGAGCGUUGUCCGGAAUCAUUGGGCGUAAAGGGCGCGUAGGCGGGUCUUUAAGUCAGGGGUGAAAUCCUGGAGCUCAACUCCAGAACUGCCUUUGAUACUGAGGAUCUUGAGUUCGGGAGAGGUGAGUGGAACUGCGAGUGUAGAGGUGAAAUUCGUAGAUAUUCGCAAGAACACCAGUGGCGAAGGCGGCUCACUGGCCCGAUACUGACGCUGAGGCACGAAAGCGUGGGGAGCAAACAGG